GAUGAACGCUGGCGGCGUGCCUAAUACAUGCAAGUCGAGCGAACGGACGAGAAGCUUGCUUCUCUGAUGUUAGCGGCGGACGGGUGAGUAACACGUGGAUAACCUACCUAUAAGACUGGGAUAACUUCGGGAAACCGUAGCUAAUACCGGAUAAUAUUUUGAACCGCAUGGUUCAAAAGUGAAAGACGGUCUUGCUGUCACUUAUAGAUGGAUCCGCGCUGCAUUAGCUAGUUGGUAAGGUAACGGCUUACCAAGGCAACGAUGCAUAGCCGACCUGAGAGGGUGAUCGGCCACACUGGAACUGAGACACGGUCCAGACUCCUACGGGAGGCAGCAGUAGGGAAUCUUCCGCAAUGGGCGAAAGCCUGGCGGAACAGCGCCGCGUGAGUGAUGAAGGUCUUCGGAUCGUAAAACUCUGUUAUUAGGGAAGAACAUAUGUGUAAGUAACUGUGCACAUCUUGACGGUACCUAAUCAGAAAGCCACGGCUAACUACGUG
rnacentral:rRNA from 1 species